rnacentral:rRNA from 1 species
AUUGAACGCUGGCGGCAUGCUUUACACAUGCAAGUCGAACGGCAGCGCGGGCUUCUGCCUGGCGGCGAGUGGCGCACGGGGGAGUAAUACAUCGGAACGUGCCCAGCAGUGGGGUAUAGCCCGGCGAAAGCCGGAUUAAUACCGCAUACUACCUGCGGGUGCAAGCGGGGGACCGAAGGGCCUCUCGCUAUUGGAGCGGUCGAUGUCGGAUUAGCUAGUUGGUGGGGUAAAGGCUUACCAAGGCGACGAUCCGUAGCUGGUCUGAGAGGACGACCAGCCACACUGGGACUGAGACAGGGCCCAGACUCCUACGGGAGGCAGCAGUGGGGAAUUGUGGACAAUGGGGGCAACCCUGAUCCAGCCAUGCCGCGUGCGGGAAGAAGGCCUUCGGGUUGUAAACCGCUUUUGUUCGGGAAGAAAUCCUCUGGGCUAAUACCCCGGGGGGAUGACGGUACCGGAAGAAUAAGCACCGGCUAACUACGUG